rnacentral:rRNA from 1 species
UCGUAACAAGGUCUCCGUUGGUGAACCAGCGGAGGGAUCAUUACCGAGUUUACAACUCCCAAACCCCUGUGAACAUACCUUAAUGUUGCCUCGGCGGAUCAGCCCGCGCCCCGUAAAACGGGACGGCCCGCCAGAGGACCCAAACUCUAAUGUUUCUUAUUGUAACUUCUGAGUAAAACAAACAAAUAAAUCAAAACUUUCAACAACGGAUCUCUUGGUUCUGGCAUCGAUGAAGAACGCAGCAAAAUGCGAUAAGUAAUGUGAAUUGCAGAAUUCAGUGAAUCAUCGAAUCUUUGAACGCACAUUGCGCCCGCUGGUAUUCCGGCGGGCAUGCCUGUUCGAGCGUCAUUUCAACCCUCAAGCCCCCGGGUUUGGUGUUGGGGAUCGGCUCUGCCCUUCUGGGCGGUGCCGCCCCCGAAAUACAUUGGCGGUCUCGCUGCAGCCUCCAUUGCGUAGUAGCUAACACCUCGCAACUGGAACGCGGCGCGGCCAUGCCGUAAAACCCCAACUUCUGAAUGUUGACCUCGGAUCAGGUAGGAAUACCCGCUGAACUUAAGCAUAUCAAUAA